rnacentral:lncRNA from 1 species
GGUAAUCGCAUUUUGUUCCUACCUCAUUUCCAGCACAGUGUAUAGUCCACAGUCUAGAGUGUGAGGAGUCACAGGUGGUGUGGGAGUUGCGUACACGUGGUUAACCAGAAAGAGAAGUAAUUACAUUUGAAAUGGAAGAGAACAAGGAUAGUAGGCCAAGCCAAGGGGAGGAGUGCCCCAACUAGUUUCUUGGAUUCAUGAUCAGGAGAUGGAAUUUAGCUCAUGCUAAAAGAUGGCCUUGUAUUGGGAGGCUGGCAGAAAAGGUGGGUCCUGCAGUCAAAUGAUGCCAGGAACCUAAAAUCACUCAGCACCCACCAAUUUCACCCCCUUUCCUACCUGCAGGCACGCCUCAAUGGUUGCAUUCUUUCAAGUUAAAUGAUGUCUAGGACUUGCUUUUCCCCAGAGAGAAGGGCAUUACUCAGAAAUAUCUUGGUAUGGAUUCCUUUGGUCUGAUAUUUGUGGAAAAACGAGAAAGCCUGGCACAAAAUGUUGAAAGUGACAAAAGACGAGAUUUGUGAAAUCCCAGGUAAGACGGUGUCUUCUCUCCUUCACAAACUGGCCCCGCCUUCCCUGGUUCACCAGACUUCCGGCUAAAACCCCAGAGAUUCUCACACCUCCCCACACUGAUGAAAGGGACAGGACAGGGGUCACAUUGAUCCAUCACAACUGUAUUAAAGGAGCUCGUGGUCACGUCUACACCAGCUAUCCUAAGAGUGCCGACCCCGCCCCGGGGUGUCAAUUGCCACGCUGGGCAUCAGAUCCCCAAUCUCCUUUCACUUCUCCCCUUUCACCUCUUCACCCCAUGAGAUGGUAUUGUAUACUGAGAACAUUAAGGUAUGUGGCUCUAGAGUCAGAUUACCUGGGUUCAAUCCUGGUUCUACCACUUCCCAAGAUUAUUUACCACUUUGUACCUAAGUUUUAUUAUGUGCCAUGGGGCUGAUGCUUCCUCUUCAAGCAUGUAGAUAUUGGCUCUCAGAUGCUCCAUCCAUCCAUUCAUUCAGCCAAUGUGUAUUUAUUGAGAACUUACUAUGUGCUAGGCACUGUUCAAGAGUCUCACGAUACUGAGGAACAAAACCUAGAAAACUCCCUGCCCUUGGGGGCUUUUUCAAGUAGAG